UACGUAGGGUGCAAGCGUUAAUCGGAAUUACUGGGCGUAAAGCGUGCGCAGGCGGUUCUAUAAGACAGAUGUGAAAUCCCCGGGCUCAACCUGGGAACUGCAUUUGUGACUGUAGAGCUGGAGUGCGGCAGAGGGGGAUGGAAUUCCGCGUGUAGCAGUGAAAUGCGUAGAGAUGCGGAGGAACACCGAUGGCGAAGGCAGCCCCCUGGGCUAAGACUGACGCUGAGGCACGAAAGCGUGGGGAGCAAACAGG
rnacentral:rRNA from 1 species